GUAAACAAAUUUGAGUUUGGCAUAGAGCUAAUACAUAUUCAAAAUCUCAUAACACUUUAAUAAGGUAAAGAGAAAGGAAAAAAUGUUAAAGGCUUUCAGGGAGUAUACUAUUCAGGCUCUAAGUAAACAAAACUUCUUUCUGAUGCUAUUGUUUGUUACUGAGUAAAUUAUUACUUACGGUUCAGCAAAGGCAAGGUAUUAAGAGCCAUAAGCAACCAAUAUUUUAAAAAUCAUUUCUAUAAUGUUCGAUAUUUUUUCAAAAGAUCAAGGAAGUUUCAGUCAUACAAUAUGUCACUGUGGCUUCCGAUUUUCAUAGUGUCAAAGCUAGCCUUGAAUUAACACAUUCAAAAGUUUCGACAGGACUUAUAUGCACAGUAAGGUGUAAGCCCUGCCUCUGUGAAUACUGCAUCCAUGGCAAUCUUUGUUCAAAAUGAAGUAUACUGCAUCAGAGUUAGUUCUCUGUGUUUAACUUUUCUUCCUGUGCUGUCUCAGGGGAGGCAACAUUUUGCAUACAGACACAGCCAGGCUUCCUUGGUGAAUUCUGAGAGAUUUGUGCGGAAGCCCCAUGAAUAAAACAGCAUCAAAAAGACCUCUGCAUGACCCUGGAGGUGCUGAUGGUGGUGGUGUGUGCACGUGUGCGUGCUUAAUUCUUCUUGUUUUAUUUAGUCCAACUUUUAGUUAUUCUGCAGAAGAAAGAGGUUGAGCGGUGUCUAUUAACAUGCCCCCCUCCUCUGUCCCAUCUAUCAUUUCUGCAUGGCAGUCUAUUUGUGCCGGUUUGAAAGUAGAUGUUUUUAGUUCCAAACUACUGAGCUGGGAGCUGUGUUUCACCUCUCAGUACUCCCUACUGUGCAAUGCUAGUAUGCAGAACUCACCGAUUUAAAGGGAAAACAAUGCUCAUUUCCAUAGACAAAAAGAAUCUCUAUGGAACUUCUGAUGUUUAGGGAAUUGUAGUAUACACUUGAAAACCUGGAAAGAAUUUUACAUACUUUUUUCCAGCACAACUACUGCCAACCAUGGCAGUGACAUUAUUUAAAGGAGGGCUUAGUUUGAAAAAUAACUAUAUGAACCAACUUUAAUAAAUAAUAACUGGUAACAACAAUAGCAAACUUAGUAAGCACUUACUAGCCGAGGCUCUACUUCUAGGGUUUCUCAACCUAAUAAUUCAUUUUUGUUGGGGGUGUCCUGUGCAUUGUAGAAAGUUUGGCAGCAUCCCUGGACUCUACCCUACUACAUGUCAGUUGCAUUUCCCCUCCUCUGCCAAAGUGAGAUAACCAAAACUGUCUCUAGACACUGCCAAAUGUCCCAAGAGAUACAAAAUCACUGCCAGUUGAGACCUUAGUUCUAUGCUAAGCAUCUUGCAUAAAAUAUCUUCCAUACUUCCUAGUAAACCUUUUAAGUAGAUACUCCACAAAUAAAUAAAGCAAAGAACAGAGAUAAUCACCCUAACUCAAGCAAAAACAAAAACAGAAAAUAGUCCAAGUAAAUUCUAUCCUAGGCAAUAAACCAAAGCUACCGUGGAUUAAAAUUUGGCUUCCAGUUUUAAAAUAUGGUGCUAAUAUUAUGUAGCCUUUUGUACAUCAGCAAGAGUGUGGGUGAAAAGCCUGUAUUCAAACAAUUCAACAUCAAUGCUUGCAGUUCAAAUACAAAGUAACAAGAAAGCACAAAUCACUAAGGCAACUCUAGUUCUCAUCACUGACCAUGUGCAUAUGGUUUCCCUGACUUCUCAAAGGACGCGCUACACAUUUGCCAUGUUUCUCCAUCAGACACUUGCAGAAUACUUCAGAAUCAGACACCACAACCAAGCCGCUCUCAUUGUAAUUACAAGAAAAAUCCCAACCAAAAAUGGCUGGUAGGUUCAUAAUGCAAUCUGCCAGUUUCCAUUUUGGCAUGAGCACUGAAGAGCUUUUAAAAAUUAAGUAUUUCUCUGAAUUUAAGACACCACUGAUUCCAAGACACAGUAUUACAUUUUGUAUCACUCAGAAAGAAAACAAGAGCAAUUAAUUAAAUCAUGGCCUUCCAUUGGUUGUUAGGCCCAUCCUGACCACAGAAAUGUUAAAAUAUGAAAAAAACAGGCAUCUCAGGAUUGAAUGAAUUCAUGAUUGAUAAAUGAUGAUAAAGUGUUACUUUCAUUCUACUCUGAUGAUUUAUUGUUUAGUCCUAAUCUUCAUUUGUUUAAAAAGCCUUUCUAAAGGAACAGGACACAUUAAAAAUUUUUUAUUCUGGAAUGCUUUUGAAUCAUGUGACUACAGAACCUUCACAUUUAUCAAGCUGAAUCAAGAAAUGGAUGCUGAUUGUGUCUGAAAAUUUCAUCCCUCAGCUCUUGAUCAAAAUCUUCUAAACAAACUGAACAUGACCUUUCGAAAAAAAAUGCUUUCAAACUUUACUGAGGAUGUUUUCCAAUAAAAGCUAUUCUUUUAUUGGAAAAAUUUCCUUGACACAUUCCAGAUUUUCAAAAGAUGUAAAAGUGAAACAUUCCGCUUUAAACCUCAAAACACCAAUUCUGAGGGAGAGACGAAGAAGAUUAGCAAGGCUAUACUAGUUUCCUAUCCCAAUAUUCUAUAUGCCUUAUUACUGUCACACAUUUUGACAUGAUGAGAAAUUGCAAUAAUUAUUCUCCCUACCUUGAAGAUGAGAUGACUAGAAUAUAGCUACCAGCAGAAAACAGAAGGACCAGAUAUAAAACUUUCUAAAUAUUGUUGCAAAUGGAUAAUCGUUAUUCUUGCUUUAUAUUACUGCCUUAGGGAUAUUUCUGUUUACCAUGGGAUCAUUAGUAAACCAAUAACCUUUAAUCAUGCAGACUGUCCUUCUCCAUCAAACUCUGGGUCUGAUUAUUUUCAGGUAUGCUUCUAAACUGCACAAAUUGGAUUUUACCCAUGUAGCAUCUUGUCUUGCCUGCUUUUAUAAUUCAUUUCUAUAAAUCAAAUCAGAGCAUUAGAAAGUUGGCCACAGAUCAUUACAAAACUGUGUUUACUUGCAUUUUCCACAAAGGUAACUAGACUUUUCUAAGCAAUCCUUUUGAACAGGUGCGGUCUUUUCUGGGGAGGAAUUCCGAUAAUCCUAUUACCUUAUGUUUGAAAAAACCCCAAGGGUUCAAACCUAAUCAUCCCAGCUUUGUGAACAAUUUUAGACUUCCCAUCAAGAUCACAAGAUACUAGAGUAAAACUCACUCUGUGUUUACCAAUAAAGAGUGAAAGAUUCUUUUAAUCAUCCUUUUAUUGAAUGAAUUGGCCUUUAUAAUGAGUACCAUUUACAUGCUCUCAACUUAAUAUUCAGGACAAGGUGCACAUAGUAGAUAUGUCCAAGGGACAUAAAGAAAAGUUACAGAGCAUGAAAGUGUGCAAGAGGACAAGCUAAUUAGUGUGGUAUCUUAAAUAAUGGUAGCUGUAGGUUUUUACAUGCAUUGAAUAGCUCCAAAAAUAAAAAGGGCUGGAAGUUACAGAUGACACUAGUCACUUAAGACAAACCAUUAAGGAUGACCAGUAUGAAAUACUGCCUAGAAAUCUGGUCCCUUAAGGAAGCCAGAGGAGGAGCUAGCUCUGGCUGGGCACAGAUGCUUUGAUUGUUCAAACAAAAAUAAAAACAAAACAUGAUCCUUAUGAUAAAAGCAUUGAGAGGGAUGAGGCUCCCCUGCUGGGGAACGAUGCAGGCCAUGUUCUAUUUCUCUGUGAAGGGAGUAAGACUGGGAGGUAUGGGGGACGAUGAUGGCAGCUCAGGGCAUUUAAGAAAAAUCCACGUUUCUAGAGGAAUUUUCUAUUAGUCAUGCUGAAAUGCAGGAUUCUCAAUUCCUCCUCAUGCUAACACAUCUGUGCAAAGCUUCUUUGGGGUAUCAGGAAUCAAGAACCAGGCUCUGAAAGCAUCAAUUCUAGAGGCUGCUAACCUUGAACCUAGUUUUCUAUUGAUUCUCCGGAGUCUCUUCAUACAUCUCCACUGCAUAGGAGAGCUACAAAUUCAGUAAAACCUUACUGAAUCAAAUUAAUGGAGAGAAAGAACAUAUUAAAUACAGAAUAUGUGAAAAGAAAUUGGGCCUUAUUACUUUUAAGUAAGCACAUCAACCAAGCUGAGGAAAUGGACAAGUGUGGAGUGAUAAGAUCUACUUUAAGGGCCAGAUAUGAGUGACUUUUGUUCACCCCUCAAUUGUUUAUAGGUAAACAGAAGCUUCUAAAGUUCCCUCCUGAAUUCAACAGGGAAACUCUCCCACCCAGUUCUUGACUAGGUUACCAAAGGUUUAGAAUUAGUAGAGUCUAACUGUAGUCAGUUUCUUGGGUACUUACUCUCCUUCUCCAUUGGAUAUACACACAUCGUACUCAUCCAAGUAAACAAAAUAUUACUUUUGAGAUCUUAUUAGAUUUAAGACCCCAGAGCUAAGUACAUGGCAUUCAUUACUGCUUUAAAUCCUCAUAAGAGCUAUAUGAAGUCAGCUUGGCAAGGUCAAACAAAUCACCCAAGGUCGCAGAGCUAGGAAAUGACAGAGAACUUCCCCAUCUGUCCCCCACUUCUAUUGUAUACAAGCUAACAGGCAGAGAAGUAUUCUCUAAUACUUUAUAUUGACAGCCCUUUCUUUAAGAACCUCAAAGGUAAAUUCAGACUCAAUUCCUGCCAGGUAACAAAGUCAACCUUACUAGAAUCUGAAUUAGUGGUUUUUUAAGUGGUAAAUAGUAAUAAAAAUGCCAUCAGCUAAGGAUUGAGGGGCUACUCCGUCCUAGACAGCUGACAUCUACAUCUACCACCACUUGGAAUUAAUCCUCAUAACUGUCCUAUUGUAGAUGGUAUCCAAAGUGCCAAGGGCUGAAGCCACUUGCCCAAGGUCCCACAGCUAGUGAGUAUCCUGACAUAAAGCUGUUUCCCUCCCUGUCCCCAAGCUCCCCUCUGAAAAACCAAAACCGCGCAGGGAAACAAGCCAACACACUGGUGUCAGCCAUGUGGCCGAAGGUAAGGAAGCAGUCAUGAGAGGAGAAGCAUUGCUCACCUGACUCCAGGCGCCAGCCUUCCACUUGGGGCAUCUUCCUCCUCGGCACUUUCUGUGCCCAUUUGGCUUAGCAAGGUGUUUACAGUAAUCACUUUCUAAAUGACUUCCAUCUUUUGCCAUGCAGUAAACAUUUCGUUGUUUAUGCCCUCGACCACAAGAGACAGAACACUGAAAUAUAAAGCAAUGGCAAGGUUGUUGUUUUUUUUUUUUAAUCACAAGGAAUUUGAUAAAAACCUGUGUCGUGAGAUGUUACGAUCAUGCCUAACGAGAGUCACCAUUCCCCCUUUUGAAGGGCCAUUUUGGAUAACACCUCAAGGCUCAACAUGGAAGGAAGGUAGCAAUGGAGAAAACAAUGUGGACAGCACGACAGCAGGAAUCCUGUCUAGUACCUUGGGUCACUCAAGAACGACGGUAAAUCCUGGUAAUUUAGGUCAAAAAUGAAGCCCGUGAACCUGAAAUUACCAUGAAAUUCUGAUUUACAGAAGUCCUACUAUGAAUUAGUCAGGAUUCCUUUUGGACAUCUCACUUCAUGCAAUCGCUGAUCAAGACAUUUCUUCAACAAACUACCUCACAAUUCACUCUUUUGGAUAAAGAGGAGAAGCUCUCAUUUUCCCAGUCCAUUGGAAAGGAGGUGAAAAAGGCAUGUUAGAAACUGAAAGGGUUGUCCUGCAUCGGUUCUUUCCCUUAUACUGAGGGACUGGGUCUCUCAGUCAACCGAGAAGCCAGCAAACAACCCCAGUGUGUCUGCCUGGAUGAGAAGGGGUGAAGACCUAGAAAGAAUGAGAUCCCCAGCUUUGCCGAGGCUGCUGAGAACCUGGACAUCCAAAUGGAGAUGGGAGGACCACACGGAACUGGGCCAGGAGAUGGAUCAUCUAAGAUGUUCUCUGUGCCACGGAUCUUGGAGCUGCACCUGCCAUUCUGAUCAUAAAUAUGUGUGUCUGUGUGGCAUGAGGGUCUGAGGUUGGCAAAUACAUAGCAAUUGCCAUCUGCUAAAGCAGAAAAGAUUUGAAAAGUGGAAAAGGAGAGGCACAGCAAUGAAGACCUCAACUACAGUGAAACAAACAGGCUCUUCUGGACGGCACUUCCUCCCUGACAUCACAGUUGUGACCUGCCACUGCUAAGGGGUUCCCAGACACUUCACAGCUGAUUAAGAGACAACCAAGGAGAAGGAAAUCAUGAUUUCACUAAGAAAGGGCCAACUGCAAUGCAGGAAUAGGAUGUAUAAGUGGAGUUUGCUCUCACCUCUCCCCAGCUGCCAUAAGCCCACUGAGGGCAAGGGCCAGAUUCGCAGGAUCUCUGCUCAUCGGGUUUGAUUCUCUCCACGCAGUCGUUGGCGGUGUAUCCAUUUUCAUCCUGACACACAACAACACGCCGCUGGGACCCACCAGCACAGGUACUGGAACACUGAACACAGCAGACAUCAGUCAACAGGUUAAUCCCUACCUCGAUCUCCAUCUCAGGGACACAAAAAGCAGCUGGUUGAAGGGUCAGAGACAAAUGUGGCAGAAACCAUUCUCAAGUUGUCCACGAUGGACAGAAACCAAUACUGAGAACCUCCCUUCCGUGGGGCUGUUUAAAGUUCACGUCUUAGCAGCACCUGGAGGACAGAAACACGGCUUCCCUCUUGCGCAGGUGAGGAAACAGGCUCAAAGAGGAGAGGGGACCUGCCAAAGACACCAAAAUUUGCAAGUGCCAGUCCUUGGAUCAAACAGAGGCAUCUUUCCUUAAAGCCUGUGCUGAUAACCAUUCAGUUAUGGUAUUUUCCCUCAGCACAGAUUUUACCCAGCCUAGUCCUUCUCUCCUAAUCCAAGACAAUGAUAUACUACUACAAAUGGCAUAGCCGUUGUGCCACUUCAAGACUACACUCACCUGGAAAAUAGCAAGAAGGAAAAUGACUUUCAUUAAAAACUCCCUUUCAGAAAAGUUCUUUUGCCCUUUUAAUUUUCCUUCAGGUAAGAGCUGCCUGCCACCUCCAGGAUCAAUCAUCACAGCUUCACAUUACCUUCCAGGAAGCUGCCUGAUCAAAUCAUCCAGCAGGGACACCCCCUCCUCCACCCAGUUAAGGUAGCUUAGAGGUGUGGGCAGACUGUCUCAAGUGAUACCCCUUCCGGGACUGCAAUUAACCUCAACAAAUGAAAAUGCACAGUGUCAAUCCCUUCUGACAUAAACAUGCUCCAGAGGUGUU